AGAGCGAAUGGUGGAUGCCUUGACUGGUAAAGGCGAUGAAGGACGUACUAGACUGCGAUAAGCUACGGGGAGCUGUCAAGAAGCUUUGAUCCGUAGAUUUCCGAAUGGGGCAACCCAAUGUAUAGAGAUAUACAUUACCUAUAUAGGAGCGAACGAGGGGAAUUGAAACAUCUUAGUACCCUCAGGAAAAGAAAUCAAUAGAGAUUGCGUCAGUAGCGGCGAGCGAAAGCGCAAGAGGGCAAACCCAGUGCUUGCACUGGGGGUUGUAGGACUGCAAUGUGCAAGAGGUGAGUUUAGCAGAACAUUCUGGAAAGUAUAGCCAUAGAGGGUGAUAGUCCCGUAUGCGAAAAACAAACCUUAGCUAGCAGUAUCCUGAGUAGGGCGGGACACGAGAAAUCCUGUCUGAAGCUGGGUCGACCACGAUCCAACCCUAAAUACUAAUACCAGAUCGAUAGUGCACAAGUACCGUGAGGGAAAGGUGAAAAGAACUGAGGUGAUCAGAGUGAAAUAGAACCUGAAACCAUUUGCUUACAAUCAUUCAGAGCACUAUGUAGCAAUACAGUGUGAUGGACUGCCUUUUGCAUAAUGAGCCUGCGAGUUGUGGUGUCUGGCAAGGUUAAGCAAACGCGAAGCCGUAGCGAAAGCGAGUCUGAAUAGGGCGCUUAGUCAGAUGCUGCAGACCCGAAACGAAGUGAUCUAUCCAUGAGCAAGUUGAAGCUAGUGUAAGAACUAGUGGAGGACUGAACCCAUAGGCGUUGAAAAGCCCCGGGAUGACUUGUGGAUAGGGGUGAAAGGCCAAUCAAACUUCGUGAUAGCUGGUUCUCUCCGAAAUAUAUUUAGGUAUAGCGUUGUGUCGUAAUAUAAGGGGGUAGAGCACUGAAUGGGCUAGGGCAUACACCAAUGUACCAAACCCUAUCAAACUCCGAAUACCUUAUAUGUAAUCACAGCAGUCAGGCGGCGAGUGAUAAAAUCCGUCGUCAAGAGGGAAACAACCCAGACUACCAGCUAAGGUCCCUAAAUCUUACUUAAGUGGAAAACGAUGUGAAGUUACUUAAACAACCAGGAGGUUGGCUUAGAAGCAGCCAUCCUUUAAAGAAAGCGUAAUAGCUCACUGGUCUAGUGAUUUUGCGCGGAAAAUAUAACGGGGCUAAAGUAAGUACCGAAGCUGUAGACUUGACUUUGUCAAGUGGUAGGAGAGCGUUCUAUUUGCGUCGAAGGUAUACCGGUAAGGAGUGCUGGAGCGAAUAGAAGUGAGCAUGCAGGCAUGAGUAGCGAUAAUUAAUGUGAGAAUCAUUAACGCCGUAAACCCAAGGUUUCCUACGCGAUGCUCGUCAUCGUAGGGUUAGUCGGGUCCUAAGUCGAGUCCGAAAGGGGUAGACGAUGGCAAAUUGGUUAAUAUUCCAAUACCAACAUUAGUGUGCGAUGGAAGGACGCUUAGGGCUAAGGGGGCUAGCGGAUGGAAGUGCUAGUCUAAGGUCGUAGGUGCUUAUACAGGCAAAUCCGUAUAAGAAUACACCGAGAACUGAAAGGCUUUUUGAAGUCUUCGGAUGGAUAGAAGAACCCCUGAUGCUGUCGAGCCAAGAAAAGUUUCUAAGUUUAGCUAAUGUUGCCCGUACCGUAAACCGACACAGGUGGGUGGGAUGAGUAUUCUAAGGCGCGUGGAAGAACUCUCUUUAAGGAACUCUGCAAAAUAGCACCGUAUCUUCGGUAUAAGGUGUGGUUCGCUUCGUAUUAGGAUUUACUCCGAAAGCGAAGAAACUUACAACAAAGAGUCCCUCCCGACUGUUUACCAAAAACACAGCACUCUGCUAACUCGUAAGAGGAUGUAUAGGGUGUGACGCCUGCCCGGUGCUCGAAGGUUAAUUGAUGGGGUUAGCAUUAGCGAAGCUCUUGAUCGAAGCCCGAGUAAACGGCGGCCGUAACUAUAACGGUCCUAAGGUAGCGAAAUUCCUUGUCGGUUAAAUACCGACCUGCAUGAAUGGCGUAACGAGAUGGGAGCUGUCUCAAAGAGGGAUCCAGUGAAAUUGUAGUGGAGGUGAAAAUUCCUCCUACCCGCGGCAAGACGGAAAGACCCCGUGGACCUUUACUACAGCUUGACACUGCUACUUGGAUAAGAAUGUGCAGGAUAGGUGGGAGGCUUUGAGUAUAUGACGCCAGUUGUAUAUGAGCCAUUGUUGAGAUACCACUCUUUCUUAUUUGGGUAGCUAACCAGCUUGAGUUAUCCUCAAGUGGGACAAUGUCUGGUGGGUAGUUUGACUGGGGCGGUCGCCUCCCAAAUAAUAACGGAGGCUUACAAAGGUUGGCUCAGAACGGUUGGAAAUCGUUCGUAGAGUAUAAAGGUAUAAGCCAGCUUAACUGCAAGACAUACAAGUCAAGCAGAGACGAAAGUCGGUCUUAGUGAUCCGGUGGUUCUGUGUGGAAGGGCCAUCGCUCAAAGGAUAAAAGGUACCCCGGGGAUAACAGGCUGAUCUCCCCCAAGAGCUCACAUCGACGGGGAGGUUUGGCACCUCGAUGUCGGCUCAUCGCAUCCUGGGGCUGGAGCAGGUCCCAAGGGUAUGGCUGUUCGCCAUUUAAAGCGGUACGCGAGCUGGGUUCAGAACGUCGUGAGACAGUUCGGUCCCUAUCUGCCGUGGGCGUAAGAAGAUUGAAGAGAUUUGACCCUAGUACGAGAGGACCGGGUUGAACAAACCACUGGUGUAGCUGUUGUUCUGCCAAGAGCAUCGCAGCGUAGCUAAGUUUGGAAAGGAUAAACGCUGAAAGCAUCUAAGCGUGAAGCCAACUCUAAGAUGAAUCUUCUCUAAGCUCUCUAGAAGACUACUAGUUUGAUAGGCUGGGUGUGUAAUGGAUGAAAGUCCUUUAGCUGACCAGUACUAAUAGAGCGUUUGGCUUAUCU
rnacentral:rRNA from 1 species